rnacentral:rRNA from 1 species
GACGAACGCUGGCGGCGUGCUUAACACAUGCAAGUCGAACGAUGAAGCUGGAGCUUGCUCCGGUGGAUUAGUGGCGAACGGGUGAGUAACACGUGAGCAAUCUGCCCUUGACUCUGGGAUAACUGCGGGAAACUGUAGCUAAUACCGGAUACGAGACCUGAAGGCAUCUUCGGGUCUGGAAAGAAUUUCGGUCAAGGAUGAGCUCGCGGCCUAUCAGCUUGUUGGUGAGGUAAUGGCUCACCACGGCGACGACGGGUAGCCGGCCUGAGAGGGGGACCGGCCACACUGGGACUGAGACACGGCCCAGACGACUACGGGAGGCAGAAGUGGGGAAUAUUGCACAAUGGGCGAAAGCCUGAUGCAGCAACGCCGCGUGAGGGAUGAAGGCCUUCGGGUUGUAAACCUCUUUUAGCAGGGAAGAAGCGAAAGUGACGGUACCUGCAGAAAAAGCACCGGCUAACUACGUGCCAGCAGCCGCCGCGG